CUGGGGUAGGAUGACCAGGUGUCUGGUUUCGGACCGGAACACCCAAUCAAAAAGGAAUCCUGGCGGGUCCGAUCAGCACAGUGACCAGGCUGUUGAAUGUCCGGUUUGCAGCACCACAGCAAGACUGGCAGGCUCCCUGUUAGCACCGCAGCUCCUAGGUCACGAAGCAGCGGGCAUGUCUGGCUCCUAGCCUUAGGAGCUGCCAGGGUGGGGUGGUCCACAUGCUGCCCUGCCCACACACAAAGGACACAGCUGCGUAGGGCCCCAGGAAAUUUGGGGCACCAAAUUUCCUGGUGCCCUGCACAGCUGCAUGUUGCUCCUGCCCCUGCCCCUGCUCUGUCCGUGCCCCGCCUCUUCCUGCCCCUGCUCCAAUUCAGCCCUGUCCCCACUCACCUGAGGAGUGCGGGCAGGGCUGGGCCUGCGCUCACCGGCAGCGGGAAGUGCAGUGGCCUGGCCCCAGCCAUGCCGCUGGUGAGUGCUCGGGGGAGGUUCCCCGCCACACACAUCCCACGGGGGGGGGCUGCGUAGGGCCCCAGAAUAGCUAGGGACAGCACUGCCCGCAGACAUAGCUCCCAUUGGCUGGGUCAGGGUAGGGGAGGAACUAGCGCCAUUUGCGAGCGCUCAGCAGGCAGCUGUUCAGGGAUCGCAUGGCGCACGCUUCUUCUGUUGCUGCCUGGCCCUCUUCUCCUGGUGUGGCUGGGCUCAAGCUGCAGCGCGUGCCCUGCUGUGAACCACGCGAUCUGUCACCCCAUUGCCAGCACCCAGGAGUUGGAGAUUGCAAAGCGGAUGCUAAGCCUGGCGCACAGCGGUGCUGGAUGAAAGAAAAGGACCAUUGGCAGGCAUAUCAGAAGGCAAGGGAAGACGACAAAGCUGAGGCCACCCCACAGACCUGCCACUUCUAUAAUUAAUAGCAUGCCACACUUGGUGGGGAUAAUGCCAGCCCCCCAAAUGUAACUGUGGACACUUUGCAUGAGCCAGGUACAGGGAGCCCUGCAGUACGCAGUGGGGCUAGGAGGACAGGACACCAAAGAAGAUGCAAACCAUGCCUGCCAGCAGCCUUUGGCAAAGUGACCUUGAAAGGUGCCCCUUCCACACCAGUUGAAAGUCUGACCGACAUCAGGCAAAAAAAGAAGUAAACUAGGAAGGAUAUCCUCUGUGAGAUCCUCCAGUCUUUUACAGCUGUGAACAGAGACUGGAGGGGCUGAAUGUACAAGACCAGGGAGGACUAAGAACUGCUGGAAGAGAGUCAAAUAGACUGAGAGGUGCAGCAGGAAGUGCACUAUGAUAUUAUGGCUUUGAUCAGGAACUGUGCCACGUCGUCAUGGGGCUGUCCGUCCAGGAGACAGCCGUGAGCAGUCGGGCUUUUGUGCGGGUCUCCGGAUCAAGAGCUGUGAACGAUCCUGUGACACCAUCAAUUUACCUGCCAUCCAGGAUCCUGUGGUCCCCCAUCCAGCAGCUUUGGUCCACCCGCUUGUCACCAUCCAGCAGCCGAGGUCCAGUGUUCCUCCCCAAAGGCCAGCGUUUGGCCUGAGGGUAGAAGGUCCUGGACCCACCACUCACUUCCAUCUGACCUGCCCAUAGAUGACCUCGGAUUAGCAGUAGGCUAUACAGGGGAUUUGAUUUGAUUUGAUUUGUUGCUGGGGGGGGUCUAUUGGGCCUGAGCUUCAAGCUCCUUUGUUGCAGUCCACUGUUUGCUGGGUUUUUAUGUUUGCUUGUGGUUGUCCCCUUGCCCCUUUCAUAUAACCAACCCUUAAUACAAUGUUUACCUGUUUCAAACAUAA